rnacentral:rRNA from 1 species
UUUCCCUCAGAAUAGUUGGAGCUCGUGAACAAGUUCUAUAGGGUAAAACUAAUGAUAAAGGCAUCAGGGGUGCAAAGACCUCGACGUAUUCUCAAACUUUAAAUAAGUAGGACGACAUGGCUGCUUCGUUGAAUUGCGCCACGGAAGCAAGAGCUCCAAGUGGGCAAUUUUUGAUAAGCAGAACUGGCGAUGCGAAAUGAACCA